GCCUUGGAAGGUAAAAGAUGGAAUCACAAACACACACACACAGACACUCACUCUCUCUCUCACUUGGAUUUUCCCUAUGCCAGAGACAGAGUCUUGCUCAGUCGUACAGGCUGGAGUACAGUGGCGCCAUCAUAGAUCAAUACAGCCUCCAACUCCUGGGCUCAAGCAAUCCUCCCACCUCGACCUCCCAAAGUCCUGGGAUUACUGCUCCUGGCCUUGAAUCCUCAUCUUUAGCCCUCCCCCAGCAAAUACACAAUUUCCCUUAUUGUUCCCUACAUACCUCUGUGCCUUCGUAUCUACCUCUCUUCCAUCUGCCUGGAAUAUUCUCCCCCACCCACCCCUAGUAAAUUCCUAUUCAAUCCUCAAGAGCUAAUGAUAGCACGCUGAAACCUUCCUGAACCUUUCCCUCCGCCCCUUAGCAGACUUAAGUCACUUCUCUCUUGUGCAGUGGAGUUGUGGAAAGGGAAUGGCAUUAGGAAACAUUCACUCUGUGUGGGGGUGUGGCUGGGUCCAAGGGAUGCAGAGAUACCUUGCCCCUUCCUCUGCCAAGCCCUAGAGCCUGGUGGAAGAGAAAGAAAGAGGCCAUCACUCUACAGCAGGGUGGAGUCAGGGAAGGGCUGGUCUAGCAGGGUACCUAGAAGGCUGGGUGCCUACCUGUAGGAGGUGGCACUAGAUCUUAGAGCUUUUUGUUUGUUUAAGAGAUGGGGUCUCCGUUGCCCAGGCUGAAGUACAGUGGCACCAUCAUACCUCACUGCAGCCUCGAACUCCUAGGCUCAAGCAAUCCUCUCACCUCGGCCUCCCAAGCACCUGGGACUGCGGGUGCGCACCACCACACUCAGCUAAUUUUUAAAUUUCUUGUAGCGAUGGGGGGUCUCACUGUGUUGCCCGGGCUGGCCUUGAACUCCUGGCCUCACAUGAUCCUCCCACCUCAGCCUCUCAGAGGUGUGUGUGGACAUAACAUUUAAACUGUUACAGGCAUGAGCUGUUGGUCAGGCUGGUCUCGAACUCCUGAACUUGUGAUCCGCCCAUCUGGGCCUCCCAAAGUGCUGGGAGGCGUGAGCCACCAUGCCUGGCCAGUGAACAUUAACGUCUUAAGAGGCAUUUAUGAGAGAAAAGCUUAAAAUUGCAAAAAGUCCAUGCAGAGCCCUCGUCAUUCCUCGGAGCACAUUGGGCUGAGGCCACUGUCUGAUUGCAGUUUAGGGAAAGACAGGCUAGCCCAAGGGAGUUAGAGCCCUGGGACACCUCGGCUGGAAUCCCAGCACUGCUCAUCCUGGCUGUGUGACCUUGGGCAAGUUGCUUGACUUCUCUGUGCUAUGUUUCUUACCUGUAAAACAGGGAUGAUGAUCAUGCCUGCAACCUAAGUGGUUGUGAGGGCUUGAUGAGAUAAACCACGCCAAGCACUCUCAAGAGUAUCUGGUCUACUAGAAGCUCCAAUACGCUUUUUUUUUUUUUUUUUUUUUUUUUGAGACAGAGUCUUGCUCUGUUGCCCAGGCUGGAGUGCAGUGGCAUGAUCUCAGCUCACUGCAACCUCUGUCUCCCAGGUUCAAGCGAUUCUCCUGCCUCAGUCUCCCAAGUAGCUGGGAUUACAGCUCUCUACCACCAUGCCUGGCUAAUUUUUGUGUUUUUAGUAAAGACACCUGGAACUCCCAAAGUGCUGGAUUACAAGUGUGAGCCACUGUACCCAGCCAUUAAGCAUUAACUGGGAAGGCCCUGGGGCCACUGGCUAGCACCAGUUUGUGAGGGCAGAGCCAGAAAAGCCCAGGCUUAGAAGACUUUUUACACACACACAUAACGCAUCCUGAUUCUGGAAAGUGGAGAUGCUGUCACUGCUCUCACAGAACUAAGCCAAGGACCUCACCGGUCAUUUAGGUGUCAGGCCUCUGGCAGGGGCAGCCAAAAUGCUCUAGGACCACAGAGCUGCAAGCCAGUAAGGCUUCCUAGAGGAGGCGGCAUCAUCUGAUCCAAGAAUGGGGUGAUGGGUGGCAUGAGAAAAUGUCAGGAGGUGCUGGGGAUAAAGCAAGAUGAGCAAGCAGAGAACAGGAGUGGGUGGGUACAGAUGGAUCAGGGGAGGGGUAUGGGUGAAGAGUGUACAGGGUGAGCCCCAGAGCCUUGCGUGUGCCCACUCAGGACAGCCAUAGUCUGCUGCUGCCUAGAGAAAGGGGCUGGCUCAACCCUAGCUCCCAAAUCUUUUUCCUAUGACUUUUUCCUUUGUCCUCAUCUCUUUCCUGAACUAUCCAGAUAUCUUCCUGCCUCCUGCCUCUAGGGCAGCCCAAAUGCUCAUUGCUGCCCCAUCCCUCUGGGCUGGAGGAGCAAACGCCUGGAGGCUGGAAAGAGAAAGGUGUCUGCAGAGAACAAGCCGCUGUCCUGUGGUGGGUGCAAAUUGGUAUGCUCUGUUCACGCAGAAACCCCACAGUGUGUACCUGCUGUAGGCAAGGCCCGAUAGGAAGCGCGAAAGGAGUUUCUGUCCCAUGGGAGGAAAAGACAUCCCUUGCUCUGUGGGAAACCAACCCCCAAGGCCUGAGGACACCCAAGCAGCCCCAUGGAGAGGCCCAUAUGGAGAGGAACUGAGGCAUCCCACCCUCAACCGGCAGAGCGGGGCUUUGAAAACAGAUCCUUUCGCCCCAGGCAAGCCUUCCAAUGGAUUGCAGCCCCAGCCAAUGCCUUGAACUGCCAAGUUCAGCCACACCUAAAUUCCUAACCCAUAGGAACUGUGAGAGAUAAUAAAAGUUUGUUGUUGUUUCAAGCCACUAA